rnacentral:tRNA from 1 species
GCCUUCGUGGUGUAAUGGUCAAGCACACUCUGCUCGUAUUCUAGAGGUUCGUGGCUCGAGUCCCGACGAGGGCA